rnacentral:lncRNA from 1 species
GCGAUUUUUUUUAUGGCUUAAGCAAAUGGGUGAAUUAGUAAAUAACGGAAACCACGCAUAAAGACUCGACAACACAUUGAUAUUUAACUUGACUGACACUUUAACAAAAAUAAGAAAAGGAAAUAACAAUAACAAUAAUUUAAAUCUACCUAGAAAGCGAUAAAUAAAAGCGGUAAAGCUUCCUCCCCCAUACUUAAAC